rnacentral:tRNA from 2 species
GGCGGGAUGGCUGAGAGGCUGAAAGCGGCGCACUUAUAAUGCGUUAACCGGAAACGGUUCGCGGGUUCGAAUCCCGCUCCCAUUU